rnacentral:lncRNA from 1 species
AAUGAACCGUGCUGCUAUGGAGAAAAAAACACCAACUAAGUGCAAAUGUGUUGUGACAGAAAAAGUGCCAUCUAACGCUACUAUGGAAAUUGCAAAGGGGUACAGCGACUCCCUGUAAAUCCCGAAACGCUACCAUCAGCCGGCGCGCUAGGAGGUGGAAGCGCUGCUAGGACCCAGAGAGCGCAGGGCUGGCGCAGAGAGCGGGACGCGACAACCGCGCUGCCUGGAGCGGCGCUGCCUCUGAAACACCUGUGACUUGGCGGAGGUAGCGGGGCACCAGGGAGAACUCGGUAUCUCCGUGAAUACAUUGAGGCCGAGAGCGAAAAUCACCCGGAUCGAGGAAAGAAAGGAGAGGUGCGGCCACUGAAACACACCUCGGGCCCGACCGAAAGCCGCCCGCUCCUUCCACUAGCGAUCUGAGGCCACUGAGGACCCGCCGUCCCUGCUCGUAUCGCAGCCGCGGCCGAGGAAACGCUGACAGCGAGCACCUCGCGUUGCUGGGUCCCAGUGAUGCGGGCAAGGAGCACAGAGCGGUGCCGGCCCGAGAAACACCCGGCUCUGAGAAACAGUCGCUUUGGAGUAAUGAACGGUGUUGACACCAAGAAAAUGCCGCCAACUGGAUGCAAAUGUGCUCUUGCGACAGAAAUACCACUGGCUCUAGCGAACCAGAGAAAGUGGUAACGGGAACAGGGGCUCGGUGAAGCCGCGGUGCUGGGACCGUGAGACCAGUGGGGGAAACUAGCGGUGCUAGGACCCGGUAAGGCUAGGAGGAAUGAAGGGUGCUGCCACCUAGAAAACGCCCAUUCGAUGCAAUUUCGGGCUGUGAUGCAAACAAAAAAGGAAACAAAACACAACAGGUCGGCUCAGCAGUGCUAGCGAAGGUGCUAAGGGAUCUCCAGUUGGGUGCAAAUCCCAGUUCUGCGACCCUGAAACCACCGGCCAAGGAAAGGAGCGUUACUCAUAUCAGAAAGUGACGGCACAGAGGUCCUCCGAGAUCUGAGAAAGAGAAUCGACUUGUUUAGCGCUACUAUUGGUGCCUCGACCGAACCUCCGCGGCCUUGGCGCUGCUGGAGAAAGUGCUGUGGCGAAACCGCAGGCUGGGCGUAAGGAGCGGCGCCGCGCGCGGGAGCCCGUGACCGGCGGGGCUGAGACCCAGCAGCGCAGCCCGGAGCAACCUGGAAACGCAAGCCGUUUGGAGAAAGCGCCGCUGCAAAGAAGAAACAGCAAACACCGUGGAACAGCGCAGUCCUCCGAUCUUCCCGGUCACGCCUAAACCAGCGCCUGUUGCUACCUCUACAGCGGGACUUCUGGGACUAAGAAAUCAGUCACCGCUAAAGCGGUGUUUGCUACGCCUAAAAUGGCCCACACUGGACACCCCGACUUGUACUAGCGUGAAAUCAGAAGCACAGCUCAAACGGAACUUGCGAAAUCGAAAGCGGCUCCACCCAAGUAGUCUCAGUGGCAGCCACACCUUCGGGGGCGUGGGGAAGGCGGCGGGCUGCGACCGAGAAAGGGACGGCUCCGCGCCACCAGCGGUGCCACGAGCGAGAAACCGCCAGCUUCGCUCUACCGGAAUCGAACACGGAGAAAACGCCGGCCGGUGCACUGUCCGCAGCGGCAACGGGCAAAAAACGCCAAGUCGGCGCUCCUAACGGUGCUGGGACCCAGCAAGGGCGGGCAAGGUUAAACAGAGGCGAUGUGGGCAAAGGAAAAUACCCGUUUUGGCGCUUUUGAGGGUGCUGCCACGAGAACACUGCAGGCGCUGAUGAAUCAUCAUUGCCUACACUGAGAACCGUUGGAGUUGAAGGGGAACCCACGAGUUCUGCUACUGAGAGCGUUGCCACGGACCCGCACUAAUAAGGAAGAUGAUGAGAAACCGGUGGUUUCCGUGCAGCUGACGCGGGUGCCACGGAAAACGACUGACGACUGACACGGCUCAAGUGGCAGGGCGGUCGGCGGGAAAGCGCCAACGCCGGCUGUGCGACCGACCAAGAUACAUCCCUUUCGGCCAAAGGAUAGGUAGUCCUUGGGAAACACUUGCUGGUAGAUGGAGAAAACCCCCCUCCCCCGCCCCCAUGUGUGGAGCGCCAAUCAGAGACGCAAUCACAAAACUUUGUCCCAGAGAGCUCACAGUGCUGGGAUCCAGCAAGCGCCCACGGGAAGCAACCUUAGCCGUGCUGCCACCCAGAAACAUCCGGCUACAUAAAACUAGCGGGACUACCAUCGACGAAUUACAGGCUGGGCGAAAAUAGCGGAUAGUUUUUGAUUUCCUGGGCUCAUGGGCAAACAAGGAAACUGCAAGUAACAAGCGACCGCACACUGCAAGGAGAAACUGCAGGAGAAAGAGAAAAAUUUGCAAUGCACACCGAAGACACAUCUUAAUGCAUUUUUUUAAAAGAUUUUAUUUUUUCCUUUUUCUCCCCAAAGCCCCCCGGUACAUAGUUGUGUAUUCUUCGUUGUGAGUCCUUCUAGUUGUGGCAUGUGGGACGCUGCCUCAGCGUGGUUUGAUGAGCAGUGCCAUGUCCGCGCCCAGGAUUCCAACCAACGAAGCACUGGGCCGCCUGCAGCGGAGCGCGCGAACUUAACCACUCGGUCACGGGGCCAGCCCCCUUAAGGCAUUUUUUAAAUUCUGUAAGUGGGAAGGUUUUGGAACGGAGAAUCUUUUCCUGGGGAAAGUUUCAAAAAGACUCCCGCUGCAUCUCAGGGCUCCUCAGCGCCAAAGACCCACCGGCAGCAACCCCAGGGCAUGGAGAACACCGCGCAAGGAAUCCACGCCAAGCAUGCUGAGAAAACCCGGUGUUGGCUCCACCAAGCGGGGACCGGAGGUCGACUACGAUCCGAAGGGGCUCGCUGUCACAGGUCUCUGUGUCCUGCUGUCUGUGGGCGGCAUCUUGCAGCCUGGCCCAGGGAAGCGACUGGAACGUGAGUCUGUCGGGUUCCUCUGCAGGAACCAACUCCCCUACGAUUGACUCUAACGUCUUCUGUGUGGCGGGCCAGAGGUCCGGAGUGGGCGGGGCUGGGCUUGGUUCCAAUGUGCCCUCGGAUCUGGGCAAGAGUCCGUUUUGCAGGCCAACCCUGGACAGCCGCCGGCUAGGACUAGAAAGCAGUUCCCAAUGGAAAUCACCGCCAGGGCAUAAGCACUCUUCCAGUACCGGGUAGAGGGAGCGGCCACGGCCCAGAAUCUUCGAAGCUCCGAGAGGACGGAGGCUGAGGCUCUGGCACCGCCUCUGCGGAAUCCCGAGCCUCCUUCACGGCGGCGAGAAAAUGCUGCUCCAUCGCUUAGGCCUCGGACCAGGACACAGGCGUUUGCUCUGAUCAAGGAGGCAAAGGCUUCAGCACCAGCACUCCGGGUAUUUAUGCUCUCCAGGGCUCGUGGGCGGAGGGAAGGCAGCGAAUGCAAAACGGAGAUCAGUAGACAAUGAAAUACGAAAAAAAUUUAGAGAACAUAGAGAACCGACACAAGUCAUUCCGAUAUAAAGACAUAUCGAGACGAAAGCAAACGCAAUGAAACGGAACAAAAAGCAAACCGUGCAGAGAACCAACCCUACAAAACUCAGGGAGCGCUGAGCGGUGCACAGACCACGAAACCAAAUGUGGCCUCGGAGAACAAAACGGCGCAGCCACUGGCCGCUGGGGCGCUGCGCUGGAGCGACGCUGCUGAAGAGAAACCCGAGACACCCGCGGCGCUGGCACGUGGCGAUGCCGGCGGGGAGCAAACAGUGGUGCUGUUCCCAAAGACAAAUACUCCUUUUGGAGCGAUGAGCUGUGCUGUCAAAGAGAAACUGCCGGCUCUGAGGAGCAGUGCUGCGCCCUAGAGACAUCGGGCUUGGAGGAAUGAAAGUUGCUGCCACGGAGAAAAAAGCCCACCGACUGGGUGCAAAUGUGUUGUGACAGAAAAAGCGCCAUCUACCGCUACUAUGGAAAUUGCAAACGCGCACGGCGACUCCCUGCAAAUAUCUGAACAGGAAUCGUCAGCUGGCGCUCUGGGAGACGGAAGCGGUGCCGGAACCCAGACAGCGCAGAUCCUGCGCAGAGAGCGGGACGCGACAACUCCCACUCCGGCUGCUAGUGCGGCGAUCGCGCUGCCAGGAGCGCUGCUGCCUCUGAAACGCCUGUGACCUGGCGGAGGUAGCGGGGCACCAGGGAGAAAUCUUGGCGAAAACAUCUGGGAUGAGACCGAAAAUCACCUGGAUCAAGGAAAGAAAGGAGAGGUGCGGCCGCCGAAUCACACAUCCGGCCCGACCCAGAGCCGCCCGCUCCUUCCACUAGCGGUCUGAGGCCACUGAGGACCCGCCGUCUCUGCUCGUAUCCCAGCCGCGCCCGAGGAAACGCUGACAGCGAGCACCUCACCUUGCUGAGUCCCAGCGAUGCGGGCAAGGAGCACAGAGCGGUGCCGGCCCGAGAAACACCCAGCUCUGAGAACCAGCCUGUUUGGAGGAUUGAACGUGGGCUACCGAGAAAAUGCCGCUACCUGGAUGCAAAUGUGUCCUGUGGCAGGAAUCCCGCCGGCUCUGCGGACAAACGAAGGUGCCAACGGGAACAGGAGCUCGGUGAGAGCGGCAGUGCUGGGACUGUGAGACCCUUCCAGGAAAACCAGCGACGCUGGCGCCCGGCGGGUCUAGGGGGAAUCAAAGGUGCUGCCCCCUAGAAAACGUCCAUUCUAUGCUAUUUAGGGCUCUGAUGCAAAUAAUCGAACAAAACGAAAAGGAAACAAAACACACCACAGGGCUCAGAGCUACUAGCGAAAGUGCUAAGGAUCGUCACAUGAGAAAGGAGAAAAUCCUGCCAUUUGCACCGACACAGGUGGAGACUGAGGGCAUUAUGCUAUGUUUAAUAAAUCAGAGAAAGAGAAAUACCGUGUGGUGUCUCCACAUGUGGAAUGUAAAAAGCUGCUCUCAUAGAAACAGAAGAAUGAUGGUUACCAGGGGCUGGGGGGUGGGGGAGAUGUCAGUCGAAGGGUACCAAUUUACAGGUAGAAAAUGAGUAAGUUCUGGGAUCUAAUGUACAGCAGGGUGACUGUAGUUAACAAUAAUGUUUAUACUUGAAAGUUGGUAAGAGAGUAGAUCUUAAAUGUUCUCACUAUAGAAAAGAAAUGGUAAUUAUGUAAGGUGAUUAAAGUAGCUGAUGCUAUAGGUGGCAAUCAUUUUGCAAUAUAUAAGUAGCAAAUCUACGUUUUAUACACCUUAAACUUACACUUGUUAUAUGUCAAUUAUAUCUCAAUAAAGGUGGAAAAAAACCAACAAAAACAAAAUGAGUUUUCAUUUCCACUUUUUUUGGGGAAAGCAGCACCUCCGCCAGCAGAUGACUUUAGAAUGGCUGCGUUGAUCAAGCCUCAGGUCCAAGUGUGCAUUAGGCCCCUGCAAAUUCCAGGUUCCCCCCUAAACCCCAUGUCACGCUAGAGCCCGGCGUACUGCUGCCCCCUAGUGGCGAGUCCACCGGCGCCGGACCCACUGCUUUUCUCUCAACCUGAGGGCCCCAAAACUUCCAGCCGGGAGAUUAGGAAACGCCCAAAUUGGCUGGGCUAUUGAAACCAGCCACAGUCGGUCUCCUCCCCUCAAGCCUCCUGAAAUGGUCGAGUUGGGUAAGAGGAAUCGUCAGGCCCAGCGCUGGGAGGGCGGGCUGAGAUGUGGUCUUUCAACUGAGGUGCAGGAUCUGAACACUUCUGCUCCUCAGCACCAUUGCCCUACUUGCAGGAAUGGAAGAUGAAGGCAUCGUGGAAAGAGGACAGAGUGUAUCUUCCAGCAGGGACCCACGGCCAAACUGUUUUGUUUUGUUUUUGCAAAUAAAUUUGGUAACCAUUGGGUGGUGGGGCAGGUGUCUCUAGUGGACUCAAGGGGACAUGUCUGUCACAGUUUUGCUG